rnacentral:rRNA from 1 species
UACGUAGGGGGCAAGCGUUGUCCGGAUUAUUGGCGUAAAGAGCGUGUAGGCGGCCAAGCAGGUCCGUUGUGAAAACUGGAGGCUUAACCUCCAGACGUCGACGGAAACCGCGCGGCUAGAGUCCGGAAGAGGAGAGUGGAAUUCCUGGUGUAGCGGUGAAAUGCGGCAGAUAUCAGGAAGAACACCAAUGGCGAAGGCAGCUCUCUGGACGGUACUGACGCUGAGACGCGA